rnacentral:rRNA from 1 species
UACGUAGGGUGCGAGCGUUGUCCGGAAUUACUGGGCGUAAAGAGCUCGUAGGUGGUUUGUCGCGUUGUUCGUGAAAACUCACAACUCAAUUGUGGGCGUGCGGGCGAUACGGGGCAGACUGGAGUACUGCAGGGGAGACUGGAAUUCCUGGUGUAGCGGUGGAAUGCGCAGAUAUCAGGAGGAACACCGGUGGCGAAGGCGGGUCUCUGGGCCAUAACUGACGCUGAGGAGCGAAAGCGUGGGGAGCAAACAG